UUAGUGUGAUAUAUGAUCUCAAGCUUUUUAAUUAAUGACCUUUCUUUUUUUUGUUUCUGACUUUAAACUCAAGGUAAAUUAAUAUUCCAAGAACCAAAAUGCUUUCAGUAUAUAGUCACUUCUUCCCCUUCCAGCUGCAGCCCCCUCUCCUCAUAGUACAUCAAAAUACUUUUCUCUGAAAAACCCUUUGACUAUCAAGAUGGGCUUUGUUGAAUGCAGGACUUGAAUCAGCCCUGUGGAGUUUUUGGUGUUUCCCCUACAAUCAAGGCCAGCCUUUGCACAUCAUUUAUAUUUGGCUAUUUUUUUAUAUUUUUCCCAAUUUUUAUUUUUUUUUACUUCAGAGAUUCCAUAUUUUUAUGGCAGGACAGGACAAUUGGAAAACUGCUGUUCAAGUGUUGUUGAAAAUCUUCAAAAUUUAAAUCCUUACAACAAAGCUUCAAGUGAAACAAUAUUUGUGUAUAACUAAUAUAGCCUGUGCAAUAAGAUAUGUUAUUCUACAAUAUAUUAUACAAAAUGUACAGUAAUUAAAAUUUUUGCAUUAAAAAAAACAA